ensembl:lncRNA
GAGGCAGAGAGGGUGAGAGGGUGAGAGGCAGAGAGGGUGAGAGGGUGAGAGGCAGAGAGGGGCAGAGAGGGUGAGAGGCAGAGAGGGUGAGAGGCAGAGAGGGUGAGAGGCAGAGAAAGAAAAAGAGGAUGAAAGAAAGAAAGUACUGGUGUUUUUUAAAUAGCCUACGUGGAACACCAAAUCCUCUCAGCAGCAAAAAUCAGCUGACAGGCUGCCACUUGCCAAGGAGGGGGGCAGGGCUUAUAACUCUCUCCACUGACACAUGCUCAACAUGCAGAUAGAGAGACAGAGAGAGAGAGAAGAGGGAGAGAGAGAGAGAGAGGGUGGAGGUAUUGAGAAAAAUAAGAGGAAGAGGUGGUUAAAAUAGUGAGAGAAAGAAAGAGAAGUAGAGAAAACAGGGAGAGAGAGAGGGAGAAGGAGGAAGGGAAGGAGUGAUUGUUUAGCCUGAUCCGCUGUGUGUUUGCUGUUGUAGUAAUCAGGCCAUUCACUGCUAUUUACGCAGUCAUUAUUUGACAGUAAUAACAGCUUUACAUUUUGGCUAGACUGCUUUGAUGUGUCCUCUACCCUCUCCCUCUUUGCCCUCUCUUUGCCCUCUCUUUGCCCUCUCUUUGCCCUCUCCUUCUCUGGAUCCCUCUCUACUAAGACAGGGCAUGACUGUCUGGAUGGAGGGAAGGUUAAAGGAGGACAACAGGGGGAGACAAACUGUAUGGGGAGGAGGAUAGGAGAAGAGGAGAGGAGAAGAGAAGAAGAGAAGAAGAAAGAGUGUCACCCAUCUUCCCCACUUUUCCUCUGGGGUCCUGGGUCUGAACUACUCCCUGUGCAACUGGGUCCUAUACUUCCUGGUCCUAGACGCCAGGUGGUGAGGGUAGGCAACAACACCUUCGCCAUACUUAUCCUCAACACGGGGGCCCC